CAGCCGCCGCGGGAAUACAGAGGGUGCGAGCGUUAAUCGGAUUUACUGGGCGUAAAGCGUGCGUAGGCGGCUUCUUAAGUCGGAUGUGAAAUCCCUGAGCUUAACUUAGGAAUUGCAUUCGAUACUGGGAAGCUAGAGUAUGGGAGAGGAUGGUAGAAUUCCAGGUGUAGCGGUGAAAUGCGUAGAGAUCUGGAGGAAUACCGAUGGCGAAGGCAGCCAUCUGGCCUAAUACUGACGCUGAGGUACGAAAGCAUGGGGAGCAAACAGGAUUAGAGACCCCAGUAGUCCCUGUCUCUUAUAA
rnacentral:rRNA from 1 species